AACGAACGCUGGCGGCAUGCCUAACACAUGCAAGUCGAACGAGAUCUUCGGGUCUAGUGGCGCACGGGUGCGUAACGCGUGGGAAUCUGCCCUUUGGUUCGGAAUAACAGUUGGAAACGACUGCUAAUACCGGAUGAUGACGAAAGUCCAAAGAUUUAUCGCCAGAGGAUGAGCCCGCGUAGGAUUAGCUAGUUGGUGUGGUAAAGGCGCACCAAGGCGACGAUCCUUAGCUGGUCUGAGAGGAUGAUCAGCCACACUGGGACUGAGACACGGCCCAGACCCCUACGGGAGGCAGCAGUGGGGAAUAUUGGACAAUGGGCGAAAGCCUGAUCCAGCAAUGCCGCGUGAGUGAUGAAGGCCUUAGGGUUGUAAGGCUCUUUUACCCGGGAUGAUAAUGACAGUACCGGGAGAAUAAGCUCCGGCUAACUCCGUGCCAGCCGCCGCCGUAACAC
rnacentral:rRNA from 1 species